rnacentral:tRNA from 1 species
GGAUUGUGGCUCAGUGGUAGAGCGCUCGCUUAGCACGCAUAGGUCCCUGGGUUCUAUCCUCAGCACCA